CGGGGACUAGUUCAUCGGUAGAACGCUCGCUUUGGGAGCGAGAAGCACAGGGUUCAAUUCCCUGGUCCCCGACCG
rnacentral:tRNA from 4 species